UUAAAGAGUUCUAUAACUCCCAAACCCAUGUGAACAUACCUAACGUUGCCUCGGCAGGUCGCACCUACCUUGUAGCACCCUACCCUGUAGGGCCUACCCGGGAGGUGCGGGUAAGCCUGCCGGCGGCCCACCAAACUCUGUUUGAUAUUGAAUUCUGAACCUAUAACUAAAUAAGUUAAAACUUUCAACAACGGAUCUCUUGGUUCUGGCAUCGAUGAAGAACGCAGCGAAAUGCGAUAAGUAAUGUGAAUUGCAGAAUUCAGUGAAUCAUCGAAUCUUUGAACGCAUAUUGCGCCCAUUAGUAUUCUAGUGGGCAGGACCGUUCGAGCGUCAUUUCAACCCUUAAGCCUUCGUUGCUUAGUGUUGGGAGCCUACGGCAACGUAGCUCCUCAAAGUUAGUGGCGGAGUUGGUUCACACUCUAGACGUAGUAAUUUUUUAUCUCGCCUAUUAGUUGGACUAAUCCCCUGCCGUAAAACCACCAAUUUAUCAAGGUUGACCUCGAAUCGGUUCAGACAAACUCGCUAAAUUGAAGCAUCUUAGUCAGCGAAGGAAAAGAAACCAACAGGGAUUGCCCUAGUAACGGCGAGUGAAGCGGCAACAGCUC
rnacentral:rRNA from 1 species